rnacentral:rRNA from 1 species
GAUGAACGCUGGCGGCGUGCUUAACACAUGCAAGUCGAACGGGAAUUACUUUAUUGAAACUUCGGUCGAUAUGAUUUAAUUCUAGUGGCGGACGGGUGAGUAACGCGUGGGUAACCUGCCUUAUACAGGGGGAUAACAGUCAGAAAUGACUGCUAAUACCGCAUAAGCGCACAGAGCUGCAUGGCUCGGUGUGAAAAACUCCGGUGGUAUAAGAUGGACCCGCGUUGGAUUAGCUAGUUGGUGAGGUAACGGCCCACCAAGGCGACGAUCCAUAGCCGGCCUGAGAGGGUGAACGGCCACAUUGGGACUGAGACACGGCCCAGACUCCUACGGGAGGCAGCAGUGGGGAAUAUUGCACAAUGGGGGAAACCCUGAUGCAGCGACGCCGCGUGAAGGAAGAAGUAUCUCGGUAUGUAAA